rnacentral:lncRNA from 1 species
AAUGGACCUUUAUUAUUCUAUAAUUCAAUUUCAUCUCUCUUUUGAGCCUACAGUCGAACUGACGGCAGAAACCAGGUUAAUUCAGGUUAACUCCAUCAGUUCAGUUUAUUUUCAGUCAAUUCAGGAUUUUUUUCAGUCGAGUGAGGAUUUGUGUCCUGCCUGUGUUGCCAUUGGGUUGAGCUUAGAUCUGAGGGCCUUGAUGCUGGGUGUCCUUGGUUGUCGUCUGUCCCUUCUGUCUUCCACUGAGGUGGUCACAGCUCCAGAUGGUCCACAGACACUGACGUCCUCCAUUGUUGGCAUCCUCUGGGAUGCCUGUGUUCCCCUCUGUUUUUGGACCCUUCAGUCUGUGCUGCCAUCUGCUGCCACAUUCCCUCAUCCCAAGGUGAGGAGGCCCCCUUGCUCAGCAAACUUCUGCAUCUUCGGGAGCCUGCAGGCGUGUAGGUAUUCCACACUCCUGACAGAAAAUGUCAGCUGUUCCCUGCAGCACUUGGAGGCCUGGGCCCUAUAGGUUUCCCCUGUGGUCCAUCCCCACGGCGAUUUCUCCUCUCUGGUUCUUCCUGGUGACAUUGGGAGAUCUGCAGAGCUGCUGCCGUCCUGGCCUCCGAUGGGAAGCCGAGCUCAGGUCCUCCCUACUGUUGGGCCCCAGGUGCAUCUGCUGAGUCGAUGUCUCCCUGCCCACAGCUGGCUUGGGUCCGGGGUGGGUGGGGCACGGGCCCCUCACAGAACCCACUGGAGCAACUCACGGCAGGGCUCUCUUCCCUCACCCUCCCCUACGCCUUUCUCAGGUCAGCAGAAUCUCUCUCCUUCCUGGGCAGGAUAAAACGACCUCUUCAGCUCAUCCUGUAAUUGUCUGGGUCUGUUGUUUGUGGUAAAAAAUUUAUUCCACGAGUUGGUCAGGAACUUGUCUUUCGAGAUUCAACAAUCAGGCUUUUGAGUCAAAGCUUGUUCUCGCCAGCUACUGUCUCUGCUGUGAACUUCAAAAGCCUCUUUUGAAAAAGGUCUGAAUCCAAGAAACUGUGGCAAUCACAGACCCCUGAUACCUAGCAGAGGACCUUAGCCAUGUCAUUGACCACUCUGCACCCAGAUCCCUCAUUCGUAAAACAGUAAGUUACUUGUUGUUACUUGUGAGCAUUCAAUGAGUUCAUUCAUGUAAUUACAAGACUUAGACUGGGCCUGGCCCAUAGUAUAUUCUCAAGAAACAUUAGCCAUUAUGAACCCCCUUUGCUUUCCUCACCCGUCUCCUGUGUGGCCUCCUGCCCACCACCUUUCCCUUGAUGAUCCAUGCUAAUCAACUGGUGACCUUGAAUUCCAUUGGCCUAAGGAUCAUUCUGUUUCAUCAGACACCCCCGAGCAGGUCUGAAUUCCCUGGAACCCACUCGAGUUACACUCAGUAGAUGCUUGCUGAACGAAUGCAUGGCUAUUCCUGGCUGCUGGUUUGGCAGGCCUGCCAUUUCCAGAAGCCUCCAUAUCCGUUGUUUUGAGAACCAGAAUGGAACCUCAGCCUCUGGUGUCUGCCCAUAGUGGAGGCAGGAUCUGGAGGGCUGAGCACAGGUCAGGAGGUGGGAGGCUCCCCACAUGACACCGUGGUCCUGGGAGAGGAGCAGCCUCAUUUUGCCCUGUCUUCCCUCACUCCCAGGCUGCAUGCUGUUUGGCAGAGUCCACAUUGUCUCCUAUCGGCAGUCACCUUCUACUAUAAGGACCUAGUGCAAGGUCCUUAACUUUCUAAGACUCAGUUUCUCACCUGCAAAAUGGGGAUAAUAACAGUAAUUACCUUGAGUAUUAAAAAUGCUAAGUAUGCCUAAUGUGAGCUGCUUAAUACAGCCUCUGGCACAAUAACCACUGUGGUGACCAUACAGCCAGUUGCCAAUGUUUCCAGCCCCUCCCCCUACCAAGGGAAGUACUUCCUGGUCUUCUUGUUGGGUGGCCCCUUGUGACUAGUUCUGUUCAAUGAGUUGUGUGAGGCGACUGGCACUGUUCAAGAUGGCGGCUCCUCCGUCAGUUCUGGAGUGAGCAGACCUGGAUUUGGAGGUCCAGCCAACCUGUGAUGGGCGUGAUAGACC